rnacentral:rRNA from 1 species
CUACGGGUGGCUCCAGUGAGGAAUAUUGCGCAAUGGGCGAAAGCCUGACGCAGCAACGCCGCGUGGAUGAUGAAGGCCUUCGGGUUGUAAGAUCCUUUUUUGGGGAACGAUAAUGACGGUACCUCAAGAAUAAGUCCCGGCUAACUACGUGCCAGCAGCCGCGGUAAAACGUAGGGGGCGAGCGUUAUCCGGAUUUACUGGGCGUAAAGCGCACGUAGGCGGUGCCGUAAGUUGGAUGUGAAAGCUCCUGGCUUAACUGGGAGAGGUCGUUCAAAACUGCGGUGCUUGAGGAUAGAAGAGGAGAGUAGAAUUCCCGGUGUAGUGGUGGAAUGCGUAGAUAUCGGGAGGAAUACCAGUGGCGAAGGCGGCUCUCUGGUCUAUACCUGACGCUGAGGUGCGAAAGCGUGGGGAGCGAACGGGAUUAGAUACCCCAGUAGUC